AUCGGAAUUACUGGGCGUAAAGCGUGCGUAGGCGGUUCGUUAAGUCAGAUGUGAAAGCCCCGGGCUCAACCUGGGAACUGCAUUUGAAACUGGCGGACUAGAGUUGAGUAGAGGAGAGUGGAAUUUCAGGUGUAGCGGUGAAAUGCGUAGAUAUCUGAAGGAACACCAGUGGCGAAGGCGACUCCCUGGACUCAAACUGACGCUGAGGUACGAAAGCGUGGGUAGCAAACAGGAUUAGAUACCCUGGUAGUCCACGCCGUAAACGAUGUCAACUAGCCGUUGGUCCUAUUUACAGGAUUAGUGGCGCAGCUAACGCAUUAAGUUGACCGCCUGGGGAGUACGGCCGCAAGGUUAAAACUCAAAUGAAUUGACGGGGGCCCGCACAAGCGGUGGAGCAUGUGGUUUAAUUCGAUGCAACGCGAAGAACCUUACCUACCCUUGACAUCCAUAGAAUC
rnacentral:rRNA from 1 species